rnacentral:rRNA from 1 species
AACGAACGCUGGCGGCAGGCCUAACACAUGCAAGUCGAGCGCGCCCUUCGGGGUGAGCGGCGGACGGGUGAGUAACGCGUGGGAACGUGCCCUUUUCUACGGAAUAGCCUCGGGAAACUGAGAGUAAUACCGUAUACGCCCUUUGGGGGAAAGAUUUAUCGGAAAAGGAUCGGCCCGCGUUGGAUUAGGUAGUUGGUGGGGUAAUGGCCUACCAAGCCGACGAUCCAUAGCUGGUUUGAGAGGAUGAUCAGCCACACUGGGACUGAGACACGGCCCAGACUUCUACGGAGGGGAGCAGGGGGGAAUCUUAGAAAAUGGGGGGAACCCUGAUGCAGCCAGGCCGGGGAAGUGAUGAAGGGCUUAGGGUUGUAAACCUUUUUAAGCUGGGAAGAUAAUGCGGGGCCCAAAAGAAGAAGCCCGGGUAAACUCGGG